GAGGAGGAGAAGGAGAAAUAAUGAGUGAUUGUAUCUACGUUUAUGGGAAGAGUUUGCUUUGAAGAAAUGUGUAAACAAAGAUUUACUCGUGUAGAGUGUCUCUGUGCUGCCAUCUGAGACUUCAAGUUCAUUACUGAAUCCAUGCUUCCUCUCAGCAUCAUAAGAAGAUCACAAAAGAUGCAGAUCACCAUGCUUAGCUGGUGGUAUUGUAAAAUCUCUUCAUUAAUGACUUUCAUUUUUGCUUGCUUAUGUGUAAAAUUGAAUCAAAAU